rnacentral:rRNA from 1 species
AGAGUCACUCCUACGGGAGGCAGCAGUGGGGAAUAUUGGGCAAUGGGCGCAAGCCUGACCCAGCCAUGCCGCGUGAGUGAUGAAGGCCUUCGGGUCGUAAAGCUCUGUGGGGAGGGAAGAAAAUACCUUGGCUAAUAUCCAAGGGAACUGACGGUACCUCCUUAGCAAGCACCGGCUAACUACGUGCCAGCAGCCGCGGUAAUACGUAGGGUGCGAGCGUUAAUCGGAAUUACUGGGCGUAAAGCGUGCGCAGGCGGUUCGUUGUGUCGGCGGUGAAAGCCCCGGGCUCAACCUGGGAAUGGCCGUUGAAACUGGCGAACUGGAGUGUGGCAGAGGGGGGUGGAAUUCCGCGUGUAGCAGUGAAAUGCGUAGAGAUGCGGAGGAACACCGAUGGCGAAGGCAGCCCCCUGGGCUGACACUGACGCUCAGGCACGAAAGCGUGGGGAGCAAACAGGAUUAGAUACCCUGGUAGUCCACGCCCUAAACGAUGAUGACUAGUUGUUGGAGGAGUUAAAUCCUUUAGUAACGCAGCUAACGCGUGAAGUCAUCCGCCUGGGGAGUACGGUCGCAAGGCUGAAACUUAAAGGAAUUGACG